rnacentral:rRNA from 1 species
AUUGCACGCUGGCGGCAGGCUUAACACAUGCAAGUCGCGCGCGCGGAGGACGGGUGAGUAAUGUCUGGGAAACUGCCUGAUGGCUGGUGAUAACUCCUGGAAACGGUAGCUAAUACCGCAUACCAUACGAUUUUCCCAGAUGGGAUUAGCUAGUAGGUGGGGUAAUGGCUCACCUAGGCGACGAUCCCUAGCUGGUCUGAGAGGAUGACCAGCCACACUGGAACGGAGACACGGUCCAGACUCCUACGUGAGGCAGCAGUGGGGAAUAUUGCACAAUGGGCGCAAGCCUGAUGCAGCCAUGCCGCGUGUGGGAAGAAGGCCUUCGGGUUGUAAAGCACUUUCAGCGAGGAGGCGUUACUCGCAGAAGAAGCAACGGCUAACUCCGUGCCAGCAGCCGCGGUAAUUC